UACGUAGGGCGCAAGCGUUGUCCGGAAUUAUUGGGCGUAAAGAGCUUGUAGGCGGCUUGUCACGUCGAUUGUGAAAGCCCGAGGCUUAACCUCGGGUCUGCAGUCGAUACGGGCUAGCUAGAGUGUGGUAGGGGAGAUCGGAAUUCCUGGUGUAGCGGUGAAAUGCGCAGAUAUCAGGAGGAACACCGGUGGCGAAGGCGGCCCCCUGGACCGGUACUGACGCUGAGGCGCGAAAGCGUGGGUAGCAAACGGG
rnacentral:rRNA from 1 species